GUGGGGAAUCUUAGACAAUGGGGGAAACCCUGAUCUAGCCAUGCCGCGUGAGCGAUGAAGGCCUUAGGGUUGUAAAGCUCUUUCAGCUGGGAAGAUAAUGACGGUACCAGCAGAAGAAGCCCCGGCUAACUCCGUGCCAGCAGCCGCGGUAAUACGGAGGGGGCUAGCGUUGUUCGGAAUUACUGGGCGUAAAGCGCGCGUAGGCGGACCAGAAAGUUGGAGGUGAAAUCCCAGGGCUCAACCUUGGAACUGCCUUCAAAACGCAUGGUCUGGAGUUCGAGAGAGGUUGGUGGAAUUCCGAGUGUAGAGGUGAAAUUCGUAGAUAUUCGGAGGAACACCAGUGGCGAAGGCGGCUCACUGGCUCGAUACUGACGCUGAGGUGCGAAAGCGUGGGGAGCAAACAGGAUUAGAAACCCGUGUAGUCC
rnacentral:rRNA from 1 species